rnacentral:rRNA from 1 species
AGGGAGGCGUAGGCGGCUGAUUAAGUCAGCGGUGAAAGGUAGCAGCUUAACUGUUUUACAUGCCGUUGAUACUGGUUAGCUUGAGUUGACAGAAGGCAGAUAGAAUUCCUGGUGUAGCGGUGAAAUGCUUAGAUACCAGGAGGAAUACCGAUUGCGAAGGCAGUCUGCUGCAGUCACACUGACGCUGAGGCUCGAAGGUGCGGGGAUCAAACAGGAUUAGAUACCCCAGU